AUGACAUCCUUUCAGGAAGUCCCAUUGCAGACUUCCAACUUUACCUAUGUCAUCUUUCAAAAUGUGGCCAAGAGUUACACUUCCUAAUGCACACCUGGAAUGUCAUUACACCUUAACUCCAUAUAUCCAUCCACAUUCAAAAGACUGGAUUGGUAUAUUAAAGGUUGAGUGGAGUACUGCCCAUGAUUAUUACAGAUUUUUGUGGUCCCCUAUGCCUGAACAUUAUGUAGAAGGAUCAAUAGUAAAUUGUGUAUUAGCAUUUCAAGGAUAUUGCCUUUCAAAUGAUGAUGGAUAAUUUUAUCAAUUCUGUUAUGUUACCCACAAGGGUGAAAUCCAUGGAACAAGUACACCUUUCCAGUUUUGAGCUGCUUCUCCAGUUGAAGAAUUGCUUAGGAUGGAAAAUGAAGGAAAUUCUGACAUGGUGGUGGUGACCACAAAAGCUGGCCUUCUUGAGUUGAAAAUUGAGAAAAUCAUGAAAGAAAAAGAAUUGUUAAAGUUAAUUGACAUUCUGGAAAAAGAAACAGUCCAACUUCGAGAACGAGUUGGAAGACUGAACAGGAUAAUUUAACAAUGAGAAAAGAAUAAAAACAAAAAAAGUGUGACCAAUUGCCUGCAGAGCAAAAGGGUCUUACUGAAGCAUCACAGUUCUUAAAAGUGGAAAAUGAAGAGUGUAAGAAGAGAUACAGUGAUGCUACAUCCAAAGCUGUACAGCUUGAGGAAAAUAUUGUGUCAGUGACACAUAAAGCAAUUGAAAAGGAGACUGAAUUAAACAGUUUAAAAGACAAACUCAGGAAGGCACAAUAUGAAAGAGAACAACUUGAAUGUUAUUUGAAGACAGAAAAGGAUGAGGAGGAACUUUCUAAGGUACAUUUGAAGAAUGGAGAAAUAGAAAACGCCAAGCUUAUGUCAGUGGUCCAGACUUUAAAGAAUUUAGAUGAUACAAAGCAUGAUUAUUCAUUUCAAGGAUGAGAUUGGCAGACUGCAGUUCUGUUUGGCCGAAAAGGAAAAUCUGCAAAGAACUUUAAUGCUUACAAUCUCCAGUAAAGAAGAUACUUUUUUUCUAAAGGAGCAACUUCAUAAAGCAGAGGAACAGGAUCAGGCAACUUGGCAAAAAGUUAUCUUUCUGACUAAAGAACUACGUGAUGCUGUAAAUGUGUAGGACAGAACGAUGGCAGAUCUACACAGUACAUGUUUAGAAAAUGAGAAAGUGAUAAAACAGAUAGCUGAUGCAAUUGCAGAACUUAAACCAAAUUCUGUGAAAAAGAUCAGGAAAAGACUGAUACACUGGAACAUGAAUUGAGAAGAGAAGUUGAAGAUUUGAGACUGUGUCUUCAGAUAGCUGCAGAUUAUUACAAGGAAAAAUUUAAGAAAUGCCAGCAACUACAAGAACAAAUAAACUUUCAGACCAGUCAACCACUAAUAAUAGUGUCUUCACAAAGAAAACUGGGAAUCAGCAGAAAGUGAAUAAUGCUUCAGUAAACACAGACCCAGCCACGUCUGCCUCUGUGACAGAUAGAAAGCCAUCACUUUCUGCAGCAGAAGCAGAGUUUGAUGUGAUAACAAAGGGGCAAAUCUGUGAAAUGACCAAAAUAAUUACUGACAAAACAGUAAAGUAUAAUAAGCGUAAACAACUCAGGCAGGAUGAGAAAACAGAAUGCAACAAAAUAUGCUGAUGAACGUGCAAAAAUGGAGCUGAAAUGAAAAGAACAGGUGAAAAUUGCUGAAAAUGUAAAACUUGAACUAGCUGAAGUAGAAGACAAUUAUAAAGAAGAUGAGAAUGUGUCUACUGCUCCUGAUCUUCCAAGUCAGCAUUUAUGUGGGCAUGGAAUAGGCUUUUGCUUUGAUUCCAGCUUUGAUGUUCACAAGAAGUGUCCCCUUUGUGAAUUAAAGUUCCCUCCCAACUAUGCUCAGAGCAAAUGUGAAGAACGUGUUGAAAGUCACUGAAAGAUGUGCCCAAUGUGCAGCAAGCAGUUCCCUCCUGAUUAUGACCAGCAGGAGUUUGAAAAACAUGUUCAGACCCAUUUUGAUUAGAAUGUUCUAAAUUUUGAUUAGUUACUUUUUAUUUUGAAUUAAUAGUUUAGCAG